rnacentral:piRNA from 1 species
UUAACAGUCUGGUCACGACUCUGCAGGG